GGCAGGACUGAUCCUUGCAUGUGGGCUGUUACUCAUCACUACUCUUUGAUCUGUUAGUUAGAGAGAAGCAACUGAAUCCAGGUUUGAAUAAUACAGCUCAUCCAAACAGUCUCCCAGCUUCAUGUCUCUGCCCCCUUCUGCUACACCAUGAAAACCUCAUAAUUUUGGGAGAUUACAAAAUCAGCCCAUCGUCACAGUCCACUUCUUCUCUCUUCCCAAACUGCUGCCGCCCCUGUGAGAUACUGACAUCAGACACAAGCCAGCUCUGUAACACAUAGAAACCAGGAAUUCAUGUUCUCAAGGCAUCUUUCUUUUACCUACUUAUCUAACUGGCAGGAUAGGGCAGGAAACUUGUCUCAAGCACAGGGUUCUGUAGAGGUGGGGAAAAGUGUUUGUGUGGAAGAACUUGGCAUGUCUAAUACCAUAGGAAAAGAAGUAUGGCACCUCUAGCCUGCCUAUGCCUUCCUAUGGUGCAGUAACACUUAUGGAAUUGACUGCUAAGGAGCCAUGCAAUCAAGUCAACUUCCUCGAGGACUCAUAGCUUGCCCAUCUGUCAAGAGUCAAGACACAGUGGAGAAGGACUUCACUGGAUGUUAAAACUAUGAAGAUCUUGGUGAAUUACAAAGUAAGAAAACCAUUAUUAUCUUUCCCCAGCUUCAGGCCCUCAGGCUUCAUGCAGCCCAGGAGGCUUUCAGGAUUAUCAUGGAAAAGCCAAACACUAAACUAUACUGACUCAAUUCAUGGAGUGUGAAAUUCAUUUCCUGUAGGAAACCUAGUUCCUUUUUAAAUUAGUAUAUUGCCACCUACUGGAACAAGGAGAAAAGCAAUCAAAACCAGGAAAUAAGGUGUAAAUUUUUAAUAGAGUAAUUAACCAUUGCAAAGGGAUGUAUCAGAAAGGGCUAAAAGUAAUUCACUUAUGUAAGGCUCAAUCCAACAAACACUGACAUAACUGAAAAGACUCCCACUGAUUUCCCUGGAAGUCAGAUCAGACCCUUAGGGUAGAAAUAAGGACAAGCCAUAAAGUAAGUGUCUGUUGAAAACUUUAACCUGGUGAUGGGCAAACUAGGCUAGUGAAUAGGCUAAGUUAGUGGCCCCUCAUUUCAGUGGGCCACAAGAUUUUUUAACUAAGACCAUAUUCUGAAAUAGGGUAGUUUUUUUUAAACAGUCUCCAUGCUUAAUGAGAUAUCAGAAACCUUCACCAUUAUUUUCCUGGUUACUUCCUUUAGAAGAACAUAGGGCCCGAAUUUAUCCGUACCUCUUAACACUUUGCCAACCUUUAAUGAGGCUAAUUGCUUAAGUGGACAAGCAUAAUCAAUCGUUUUAACAGUGCAUACUAGCCAGCUCAGUUUCUUGUCCCUGCUACAGCAAUUUCCUCCACCCACACACCUGUCAACCAUACUCAGAACAUCACUGAAUUGUUCACUUCUUUCUAGUCAGCUUUUUAAUUUGUUUUAG